rnacentral:rRNA from 1 species
AUUAAACGCUGGCGGCAUGCCUUACACAUGCAAGUCGAACGGCAGCAUGGGUGCUUGCACCUGAUGGCGAGUGGCGGACGGGUGAGUAAUACAUCGGAACGUGCCCUGAAGUGGGGGAUAACGCAGCGAAAGCUACGCUAAUACCGCAUAUUCUGUGAGCAGGAAAGCAGGGGAUCGCAAGACCUUGCGCUUUGGGAGCGGCCGAUGUCGGAUUAGCUAGUUGGUGGGGUAAAGGCCUACCAAGGCGACGAUCCGUAGCGGGUCUGAGAGGAUGAUCCGCCACACUGGGACUGAGACACGGCCCAGACUCCUACGGGAGGCAGCAGUGGGGAAUUUUGGACAAUGGGCGGAAGCCUGAUCCAGCCAUGCCGCGUGAGUGAAGAAGGCCUCGGGUUGU